CUUUCAUAUGUUCAUCGGUAUCCUUUCCUCUUAAUGGUACAAAAAAGUAACAUCAAUAGUUUAAAAAAAUAAUCAGUUAAAAACAUCGUAAUUGACAUUGUAUGCCCCGUAGAAAUCUUAGGACAUUUAUAUAUGUGUACCCGCAGACCGCAGAGAAGCAGCCUGGCGGAUUAAGCUACAAUCAUGAUAUUUAAUAGGUUAAUAUAAAAACGACCAACGGUGAAAUGAUCACAAGUUGUUACGUUAAGCUUUAAUAUCUUUUAUAGUCAAGGUUCUCUCUUCCAGUUAAGAACCAGCAAAAGCUACUUACCGUGCCGAUAUAUUAUAGAAAACAUUUUUUUUUUUUUUUCUUAACAAUUUCUCUCUCGCCUCUCAUCCGCGUUAAAUUUGAAAAAAAAAAUAAAAAAAAAUAAUUUUUAUUUUUUUGAAAACUUCAGAUAAAAUUGAUUAAUAACAGUAGGUAUAUUAUUUUGCAGCCGUUUGAGACCACAGGUUUAAAUUAGCACCGUACAAUAUUAGAAACAGAUGCCUAAAAAUAUUGUUCGUGUAAAAGUCAGGUCACCGUCAUUUCAUUUUUUUUCUGUAGCUAGUUUUAAUUAAGCUUCGAUAUAUUAACACGUAAUCCCUUUCAGACGUCGACAUUGACACAUCUAUCCGUCCGUCAGUCACGGUCCGCUAAUGUAUUGUAAUAGGUGAACGUAAUGGAGCUGUCUCAGCUGUCUCUAUGAUUACACGUGCACGUGGCCAGCGAACACGCGGUUAUUACUACACUCGAAACAUGCUCAGACGUGUUUUGUUACCAGAUGUUUACAACAAAUACAAGUAAAAUAAUAUCAUGUAUGUUAAAAAAAUAUUUACUGUGUAGUAAAUAAAAUUAUUUACGGGUCAAAAUUUUAAGGAAACAUUUUGCAAAAUUAAAAUUUUAAAAGCCAUAUAGUUCCUGGCUCUAAACCACGAGUGCUAGGACGCUAACCCAUUACUAAAAUUAACACUUGCCUAUCUAUUUCCCUUGUGGUGAAUGUAGCUAGCUAUUUUUAUUUACUACGCAAGAAAGACCCGAGUUGCAUACA